rnacentral:rRNA from 1 species
GGAAGCAAGUGGAAACCAACUGUUUGUGUGGUCCUUGUGGAGCUCUUCAACACAGGAACUAUACUGCUAGGCAAGGUAGCAGUUGAUAGCGGCAUGUUUGUAUUCUCAUUGCUUUGUUAUAGAAGCAUUCUGGGUGCCAUUUUUAUCUUGCCAUUUGCCCUGCUCCUCGAAAGUGGGAAGUGGAAAGAAUUGGAUAAGAAGGCUCUUGGUUGGCUCUUCAUCAAUGCUUUUGUCGGGUACUCGUUGCCUAUGGCCAUGUAUUACUAUGGGCUACAUGACACAACUGCUUCCUAUGGUGUGAUCUUCUCCAGUUUGACUCCGCUCUUCACUUUUGUCUUGUCAAUAUUGCUUGGCAUGGAGACCUUGCACCUCAAAUCCAAGGAGGGUAGCGCGAAGGUGGUUGGUGCAUUGGUAUGCUUUGGAGGGGCUUUAUUAAUAAGCCUAUACAAUGGGAAGGAACUGCAUCUCUGGUCUCCAGUUAUAAAAGGUAUCACUAAGAGUUCUAAUGGAGUAGCCGGAGGACACCACCAUUUGAGAGGCACCUUACUUUUGUUGGGUGAUUGCAUAUGCUAUGCAUUUUGGUACCCCAUACAGGUGAAAGUUCUAAAGGUGUAUCCAUGGAAACAUUGGUCAUCAGUGUUGACCUGUGUUCUAGGUGGUUUGUAA